rnacentral:siRNA from 1 species
UGAAGUCAUUGGUUAUUGGCCUA